rnacentral:lncRNA from 1 species
UUCACUAAUAUUCAAAAAUUAAUUUAUUCUUUAAUGCCAUAUACAGUUCCAUUCUAAAAGCAUACUGCAAAGUUAAAGUUACCUUUCUGCUGUCCUGCAACAGCCACUGAAUUCGCUGCUGAUAAAGUUCAAUCACUCUGACAAAAGGCAUAGCACACAUUUAGCUAAGGCGAUCUCUUGCAUUGUGCAUCAAUGUUACAAUCAACCAUUUGUCUUCAUCACAUCCUUCUUCUCACAGAUGCAAAAUCUGUGAGAAGCAGCAUUUAAAACUGCUGUUGCCAGUGUUCUCAUACAACUGAUGGUUGCAGGGUUAACCAUUUAAAUACUACUUCUCCUAAAGUUGUUUGAUUAAAUAUGUGGCUGUCUGAAAAAACAGAACACUGGAAUGUUUUCUAAUCAGUUGCUGGCUUAUUCUGUUCAGAGGUGGGAGUGGGGUAUUUACCAUGUGUAUGUGUGAACAACAGAAGUUCAGGCAAAACUGAGUUUAGUUCAGCACACACAGGUUACUGUCAGGAAAUGUAUUUAAUACAACCUACACUAUUGCUUAAGACAUUCAUGAAAUAUAAGCUUGUGAUUGAAAGGCAGCACACUCACUGAAGUGCCAGACUAACUGCAGCAUAACUUUCAACAAUUUCCAUUUCAAAAUAGGUAAAACCUGAGGUAAAACAAAGUGCUUGCUUCUUCUAAAAUUGUUUUGCUUCAACCAACUGAUUUUUAAUACCACAUGCAUAGUUUUUACAAUUUAAACAGAAAGUUUAAAUCAACAUUUUAAAGGGGAAAACAGUUUUGCUUUUUCAAAACACAAAAACUACUUCUUUUUUAAACCAGAUCUGCAGACAGUUUGCUUGGAUGGUUCAGGGCCCAAGUACUGAAGGUGGACCUUCGGAAGAUUCUGUACCUUCAUGACUUGACACAGUGAGGUAUGCUGAAGUAAUGGAUACUUACUCAGAAAGUCUGGACUCAAAAUCAGUAACAGUCUCUUCUGUAAACUCUAUCUCUUCAACACCAUUUCUUGAAUUCCUGGAACACUAUGCAUCAUUAACAUCAGAGGUGCACACAAAAAUGGCAGACCAAAGAAAGAGCAGUGUUGUACUUACAAAACAAUACUGCCUUCGUCUACCAGAUGCUCUAAUGUUAAUUGCAAGGAUUCUAAACUGUAGUUUCUUAGCCACUCUUCAGAGGUUUGCACCUUUUCAGACUGUAUUUCCUUCAUUUGUACUCUCUAUAGAUCGACAGAUCAUUUGUCUUGCUGCUAUGUAUGACCAGCGAUCCAUUAUCUGGUCCUGGACGUGACAUAGUAAAAUCUUGGCAUGGUGGAUGAACACCCUGCAGAGUGGAUUUUGUGGUCAACC